rnacentral:rRNA from 1 species
AUUGAACGCUGGCGGCAGGCCUAACACAUGCAAGUCGAGCGGAUGAAGGGAGCUUGCUCCUGGAUUCAGCGGCGGACGGGUGAGUAAUGCCUAGGAAUCUGCCUGGUAGUGGGGGAUAACGUCCGGAAACGGGCGCUAAUACCGCAUACGGCCUGAGGGAGAAAGUGGGGGAUCUUCGGACCUCUCGCUAGCAGAUGAGCCUAGGUCGGAUUAGCUAGUUGGUGGGGUAAAGGCCUACCAAGGCGACGAUCCGUAACUGGUCUGAGAGGAUGAUCAGUCACACUGGAACUGAGACACGGUCCAGACUCCUACGGGAGGCAGCAGUGGGGAAUAUUGGACAAUGGGCGAAAGCCUGAUCCAGCCAUGCCGCGUGUGUGAAGAAGGUCUUCGGAUUGUAAAGCACUUUAAGUUGGGAGGAAGGGCAGUAAGUUAAUACCUUGCUGUUUUGACGUUACCAACAGAAUAAGCACCGGCUAACUUCGUG